UGUUUUACUGGGAUAACUCCGGGAAACCGGGGCUAAUACCGGAUGCUUGUUUGAACCGCAUGGUUCAAACAUAAAAGGUGGCUUCGGCUACCACUUACAGAUGGACCCGCGGCGCAUUAGCUAGUUGGUGAGGUAAUGGCUCACCAAGGCGACGAUGCGUAGCCGACCUGAGAGGGUGAUCGGCCACACUGGGACUGAGACACGGCCCAGACUCCUACGGGAGGCAGCAGUAGGGAAUCUUCCGCAAUGGACGAAAGUCUGACGGAGCAACGCCGCGUGAGUGAUGAAGGUUUUCGGAUCGUAAAGCUCUGUUGUUAGGGAAGAACAAGUACCGUUCGAAUAGGGCGGUACCUUGACGGUACCUAACCAGAAAGCCACGGCUAACUACGUGCCAGCAGCCGCGGUAAUACGUAGGUGGCAAGCGUUGUCCGGAAUUAUUGGGCGUAAAGGGCUCGCAGGCGGUUUCUUAAGUCUGAUGUGAAAGCCCCCGGCUCAACCGGGGAGGGUCAUUGGAAACUGGGGAACUUGAGUGCAGAAGAGGAGAGUGGAAUUCCACGUGUAGCGGUGAAAUGCGUAGAGAUGUGGAGGAACACCAGUGGCGAAAGCGACUCUCUGGUCUGUAACUGACGCUGAGGAGCGAAAGCGUGGGGAGCGAACAGAUUAGAUACCCUGGUAGUCCACGCCGUAAACGAUGAGUGCUAAGUGUUAGGGGGUUUCCGCCCCUUAGUGCUGCAGCUAACGCAUUAAGCACUCCGCCUGGGGAGUACGGUCGCAAGACUGAAACUCAAAGGAAUUGA
rnacentral:rRNA from 1 species